rnacentral:rRNA from 1 species
GAGCUUGCUCCUCUGACGUUAGCGGCGGACGGGUGAGUAACACGUGGAUAACCUACCUAUAAGACUGGGAUAACUUCGGGAAACCGGAGCUAAUACCGGAUAAUAUAUUGAACCGCAUGGUUCAAUAGUGAAAGACGGUUUUGCUGUCACUUAUAGAUGGAUCCGCGCCGCAUUAGCUAGUUGGUAAGGUAACGGCUUACCAAGGCAACGAUGCGUAGCCGACCUGAGAGGGUGAUCGGCCACACUGGAACUGAGACACGGUCCAGACUCCUACGGGAGGCAGCAGUAGGGAAUCUUCCGCAAUGGGCGAAAGCCUGACGGAGCAACGCCGCGUGAGUGAUGAAGGUCUUCGGAUCGUAAAACUCUGUUAUUAGGGAAGAACAAAUGUGUAAGUAACUAUGCACGUCUUGACGGUACCUAAUCAGAAAGCCACGGCUAACUACGUGCCAGCAGCCGCGGUAAUACGUAGGUGGCAAGCGUUAUCCGGAAUUAUUGGGCGUAAAGCGCGCGUAGGCGGUUUUUUAAGUCUGAUGUGAAAGCCCACGGCUCAACCGUGGAGGGUCAUUGGAAACUGGAAAACUUGAGUGCAGAAGAGGAAAGUGGAAUUCCAUGUGUAGCGGUGAAAUGCGCAGAGAUAUGGAGGAACACCAGUGGCGAAGGCGACUUUCUGGUCUGUAACUGACGCUGAUGUGCGAAAGCGUGGGGAUCAAACAGGAUUAGAUACCCUGGUAGUCCACGCCGUAAACGAUGAGUGCUAAGUGUUAGGGGGUUUCCGCCCCUUAGUGCUGCAGCUAACGCAUUAAGCACUCCGCCUGGGGAGUACGACCGCAAGGUUGAAACUCAAAGGAAUUGACGGGGACCCGCACAAGCGGUGGAGCAUGUGGUUUAAUUCGAAGCAACGCGAAGAACCUUACCAAAUCUUGACAUCCUCUGACCCCUCUAGAGAUAGAGUUUUCCCCUUCGGGGGACAGAGUGACAGGUGGUGCAUGGUUGUCGUCAGCUCGUGUCGUGAGAUGUUGGGUUAAGUCCCGCAACGAGCGCAACCCUUAAGCUUAGUUGCCAUCAUUAAGUUGGGCACUCUAAGUUGACUGCCGGUGACAAACCGGAGGAAGGUGGGGAUGACGUCAAAUCAUCAUGCCCCUUAUGAUUUGGGCUACACACGUGCUACAAUGGACAAUACAAAGGGCAGCGAAACCGCGAGGUCAAGCAAAUCCCAUAAAGUUGUUCUCAGUUCGGAUUGUAGUCUGCAACUCGACUAUAUGAAGCUGGAAUCGCUAGUAAU